rnacentral:rRNA from 1 species
GACAGAGGCCUCAAGCGUUAGGCGGAAUCACUGGGCUUAAAGCGUGUGUAGGCGGAUCGUUAAGUGUCUUGUGAAAUCCCACGGCUCACCCGUGGAACUGCUGGGCAUACUGGCGAUCUUGGGCCAACUAGGGGCAACUGGAACAAGCGGUGGAGCGGUGAAAUGCGUAGAUAUCGCUUGGAACGCCAACGGUGAAAACAGGUUGCUGGGGUUGUGCCGACGCUGA